rnacentral:rRNA from 1 species
UACGUAGGGUGCGAGCGUUGUCCGGAAUUACUGGGCGUAAAGGGCGCGUAGGCGGCCUUCUAAGUCGAACGUGAAAUCCCCGGGCUCAACCCGGGAACUGCGUCCGAUACUGGAAGGCUUGAAUCCGGGAGAGGGAUGUGGAAUUCCAGGUGUAGCGGUGAAAUGCGUAGAUAUCUGGAGGAACACCGGUGGCGAAGGCGACAUCCUGGACCGGUAUUGACGCUGAGGCGCGGAAAGCCAGGGGAGCAAACGGG